GCCUUCGGCACACCCUUUGGUGGAAUUCAAAGUUUCUGCGGAGCAGAGAGCAGUAAUUAACAGUGAGACCUUAUGAUGAGCAAAUCACAGAAGCACAACUCUGAAGUAAGUCACCUAAGGCCACGCAGCUAGGAGAUAAAUGAAUCAACAUUGAAACCCAAUUUUGUUGCUUAGUAUCCCACAUUCUCAAACUAUAUUAUCUGUCCUUAUUGUGAAUAAAAAGUGUUCUUAUUAACACUACAUUCUUGGCUCAGUGCUAAGCUCUGUGGCCCAUUGUCCAGCACUUGACCAGGUCCCCGGCAGGCACUGAGCCAUUUGAUGCAGAGGAAUGCUGAGCAGCGUGAGGCCAGGCAGGCCCAACUGGCCAGGUGACGCCUGGCCAGAUGGUUCCUCCCCCCGGCGCCCCCAGAGGCCACUAUUGAAAACCUGAAAGAGACAAAAAGCCUGUGGAAUCCUCCAAGGGGACCAGAUGCUGCUUAGGGAAAACCUCUCCACACUGUGGCAUCAGGGAACGGGUGGUGCAAGAGAAGCUUCAAGAAUGAUGAACAGAACAAGAAACUGCCUCACUUGACAAUAAAAUAAAUGCCCACCA